AUGGUUUGGAAGAAGGAGGUGAGGAUCUACUCCCAAACCACUACCCUUGCGGGAAUUGAUGUGAAUGUGCAUGAAACUAAUGGAAACAUUUGGAGAUUGACUGGAAUAUACGGAGAGCCUAGCUGGGAGCAUAAGGAUCAUACUUUUCAGUACAUCCGAGAUCUGCAUGCACACUCUAGGCUACCGUGGGUAAUCGGUGAUUUCAACGAGAUCUUGUUGUCCUCUGAAAAGGAAGGAGGGGUUGCACGGCACCAAUCCCGUCUAGCAGCUUUCCAAGAUGCUUUGUCUGAAUGCUCUCUAGAGGAUAUGGGAUAUGUUGGUGAUAAAUUCACUUGGUUUAGAGGUGGAAUGAAGGAACGUUUAGACAGGGCUAUUACAAAUGCUGAGUGGAUGGGCAUGCACCCGUAUGCAGGCCUGUGUAAUCUAGAGAUGGGGAAAUCUGAUCACCGACCCAUCCUGCUAGAUACAAAAUAUCUUGCUAGAGUGGCAGAGAAUAGGCCUAAGUACAAGUGA
rnacentral:rRNA from 1 species